GACGAACCGUGCAAACGUUGUUCGGAAUCACUGGGCUUAAAGGGCGCGUAGGCGGGUUCCCAAGUCGGUGGUGAAAUCUUUCGGCCCAACCGGAAAAGUGCCGCCGAUACUGGGAGUCUCGAGGGAGGUAGGGGUCGAUGGAACUUCCGGUGGAGCGGUGAAAUGCGUAGAUAUCGGGAGGAACACCAGAGGCGAAGGCGGCGACCUGGACAGGUACUGACACUCAACUACGAAAGCGUGGGGAGCAAACAGG
rnacentral:rRNA from 1 species